UCGUUAAAUGCAUUCACAUUUUUAUCCCUACUUUCAUCUUUAGCAUCACUGUAUUGUUCUCCGGCGAAAGUUCGCCGCCUCAACCGCGGUUUUUCCUCCUUCCCUAACAUCUAAUUCUCACCCUUAACUUCUAAUUCUCACCCUUAACUUCUAAUUCAAUAGCUUAGUCAUUAACUCAACCCUCCCCCAAUUCUACUCUCAUUUUUCCUUCAUUCAUCUUCCUCCAAACCGAUCAAUUCCUCCUGAAAUUCGGCGAAUCCACAACUGGAAUCCACAAUCUCUCGCUUGAAAUCUCUCUCCGAUUCUACAGCGGAGUGUCUUCCCCACUUUCAUCACAUUCGGCCGAACGCCAGCGAAAUUGCAGUGUCUUCCUCCACCGCCUGCAUCUUAGGUUUAUUCCUUUUUUCUUCCUAAUCGGACGAGAGAAAUUGGAGAGUAGAUCGAUGAUGAGUUCGUUCUCCAAAUCAAAAGGUUCAGGAAUUUAAAUAUAAGCUUCAGAAGAUUGAAUGGACUUAUGUCUUGUUAUAUCCAUCACCAGAGCUUUUGUGACACAAGAGCAUACUGUUAUGCAAGAGCAUUACUCUCGCUUUCACUAACGCCUAUCUGUUAUGCCGGUUGACCUCUUGCCAGAAAACAAAUGUUUUGGUUCGAGAGAGAAUCUUUGAAGCCCUCUCCAGUGAUAACUUCUUUGGUGGUCUUGACAUCGACCUUGAUGGAUCAAGUCCAAGAGAUGAUAGUUGUCUCCCUUUCUAUCAGAUGAGCAGCACAAGGAAUUUUGGGAUCAGAUCGCUGAUCAGAGUUUCGACCGUCCACUUAAAACUUACUUUGACAUGUUGAUAUGUAGAUGGAAGAAUUACAGAAGAUGAAGUCAGUGAGGUACUCUUUUUUGGUUAAUGUUAUAGUGUUGAUAAAGAUGCAAAUAGAACAAUCACAUAUAUUGUUAUAGUGUUUUAACAGGCUCGGUCAUGUUUUUUAUUCUUGGUUAAUUCAUUGACCUCAUUGGUUGUUGUAUUGGAUAUGAGCCCUGCAUUACUUCUAGGAAAUGAUUGAGAAACAAUAGAGUGAUUUCUACUCCAGGAGAAGAAAAGUCAAGAUUCAGCUCCAAUGAGGUGAAUUCUUAUCAUCAUACAUGGGUUAAAUGAACACAGAUCUAUGCACAAGCUUUGCUUAAUGAUAAUUGGAAGCAUUGAAGAGAGAAUGUAGAGAGUUAUCAAUCAAAGAAGCAGCUUAGUGUCCUUCAAAUCUCAAAUCUCGAUUACUGUUUAUGAAGCUGUAAUUUACUUAUUGUGGAGGUGGAGUGUUUCACUUAAUCAAAUAUUGUCUCAAUAAAUGUUUUCUUAAUCUUUGA